rnacentral:rRNA from 1 species
UAGAGUUUGAUCAUGGCUCAGGAUGAACGCUGGCGGUAUGCCUAACACAUGCAAGUCGUACGAGAGUUUUUAACUCUAGUGGCGGACGGGUGAGUAACACGUGAGAAUUUGCCUUUAGGAGGGGGAUAACAAUUGGAAACGAAUGCUAAUACCCCAUAUGCUUUCGAGUGAAAUGGAUUUAUAUUUAUCCGCCUAGAGAGAAGCUCGCGGCUGAUUAGCUUGUUGGUAAGGUAAGAGCUUACCAAGGCGACGAUCAGUAUCUGGUUUGAGAGGACGAUCAGACACACUGGAACUGAGACACGGUCCAGACUCCUACGGGAGGCAGCAGUGGGGAAUUUUCCGCAAUGGGCGAAAGCCUGACGGAGCAAUACCGCGUGAGGGAAGACUGCCUAUGGGUUGUAAACCUCUUUUUUCAGGGAGGAAUCAAUGACGUGUACCUGAAGAAUAAGCAUCGGCUAACUCCGUGCCAGCAGCCGCGGUAAGACGGAGGAUGCAAGUGUUAUCCGGAAUCACUGGGCGUAAAGCGUCUGUAGGUGGUUUAAUAAGUCAACUGUUAAAUCUUGAGGCUCAACUUCAAAAUCGCAGUCGAAACUAUUAGACUAGAGUAUAGUAGAGGUAAAGGGAAUUUCCAGUGGAGCGGUGAAAUGCGUAGAUAUUGGAAAGAACACCGAUGGCGAAAGCACUUUACUGGGCUAUUACUAAC